UGACGACCAGUAUGCGGAUGAUGAUGAUGAUGAUGAUGAUGGAUUUGAUGAUCAUACGACAUGAAGGAGGGAAGACAUCAUCAUCAUCAACUCCAUCAUCUCCAUCUUCG
rnacentral:miRNA from 1 species